rnacentral:lncRNA from 1 species
CCUGGCUGUCCUGGAACUUGAUCUGUAAACCAGGCUGGCCUUGAACUCAGAGCGAUCCUCCUGCUUGAAUGUUGGAGAUUAAAGGCCUUUGGGGAAGGAUGUGGACACUGCUUGCUGAGCACAGGUCAGACUCUUUCCAAGGCUUCUAACUUGAUAAUGCUGUUUCCUCGGAUGACCACCAUGCUGAUGUUGUUCUGCUGCCCACUGGUUGCCAUCUCCACACACUCGUCAGUCACAAGGUUCAUAAAGGGAUCAAAGCCCAGCAGUAUUCCUUGGACAUGCCUGCCACCGUUUAACUUCAAUGAUAACUUCUUGUCCAUAAACUUCUUCAGUUCGGGAGGGUGGGCUUUGCUCGUGGCAACUCCUCGGCGGGCUCGGCACAACGGCGAAGGAGUGAUACAUGUAAUUUUUAAAGAUCUAAAAUUAAUAUUAACUAAAAUGACACAGUUAAUAAAAGUGUAUUGUUAAGAUUAAA